GGGGAAUCAGCUCAGUGGUAGAGUAUUUGCCUAACAUGCAAAAGGCCCUGAAUUUAAUCCCCCA
rnacentral:tRNA from 1 species